UACGUAGGUGGCGAGCGUUGUCCGGAAUUACUGGGUGUAAAGGGCGUGUAGGCGGGGGUGUAAGUCAGAUGUGAAAUUCCUAGGCUUAACCUGGGCGCUGCAUCUGAAACUAUACCUCUUGAGUGCUGGAGAGGAAAGCGGAAUUCCCAGUGUAGCGGUGAAAUGCGUAGAUAUUGGGAGGAACACCAGUGGCGAAGGCGGCUUUCUGGACAGUAACUGACGCUGAGGCGCGAAAGCGUGGGGAGCAAACAGG
rnacentral:rRNA from 1 species